AGACUAAUACUUUUUAAGACACUACGUCACAAGAUGGCGAUUUAAAUGUUUUGUUAAUCUGUUUGUAUCAAUCGAUUCAGAUGUAUAUCGUCAUAGCUCAGUGGUUAAAGCAUCAGGCUUGUGAACCGCAGGUAAUGAGUUCGAAUCCACCUGGGGCUUUUGUUCAUGUUUACUGAAUGACAUUUUUGAAAAUAGCAUUUUUUAUCUAAAAUUGUGCAUUUUUUCGCCUCUUUGAUAUAUAUAAUUCUUAUCCAUCAUUCUUUCUAUCAUAAUCAAGUAAAUUUCUGCUGAUUUGAGAAACUAUUUAAAGGUGUAGUGAGGUACCUUAAGGUUUUGCAAGCUUAAUGAUACCUGAAUGUCAGAAAGAGGACACCAGGGGGCGUUUAUAGUGGAAAUAGCUCCACUUUUUCAGAAUGAUUAUUUACACAAAAAAAACUCUAGGAAGACUUGCUUACUUUCAUAUAAACAUGACCAAAAAAAAACCUCCACUUUCAUAAAGAUUCAGAAUUCUGAAAUAUUUUUUGUCAAGUUUACAUAGAACUUAGCUAGAAUGAGAAAUUUUAAGAGUCUGUGUAUAGCUUACACCAGGUAUCAUAACUGUAUGAUAACCCCUGGGUCAGGCCAGGGAAAGACCUUGUUAAGGAUGGGAAAGGGAGACAGUGGUUCAAUUGAAAAAAGAAAUUAUAUUGUAGUAAAUAAAGACAAAUACAUGUACCAGUAUUAACAUCCGAGUAUUGUUAUUAUUUCAAAGUAAAGUGGUAUGGGACACCUCCAUGUUGUGACGUAUUAUUUAUCAAAAUAAAGAAUUAAAUC
rnacentral:sRNA from 1 species